GGACGGGUGAGUAACGCGUGGGUAACCUGCCUCAUACAGGGGGAUAACAGUUAGAAAUGACUGCUAAUACCGCAUAAGCACACAGUACCGCAUGGUACGGUGUGAAAAACUCCGGUGGUAUGAGAUGGACCCGCGUCUGAUUAGCUAGUUGGCGGGGUAACGGCCCACCAAGGCGACGAUCAGUAGCCGACCUGAGAGGGUGACCGGCCACAUUGGGACUGAGACACGGCCCAAACUCCUACGGGAGGCAGCAGUGGGGAAUAUUGCACAAUGGGGGAAACCCUGAUGCAGCAACGCCGCGUGAGUGAAGAAGUAUUUCGGUAUGUAAAGCUCUAUCAGCAGGGAAGAAAGUGACGGUACCUGACUAAGAAGCCCCGGCUAACUACGUGCCAGCAGCCGCGGUAAUACGUAGGGGGCAAGCGUUAUCCGGAUUUACUGGGUGUAAAGGGAGCGUAGACGGCACAGCAAGUCUGAAGUGAAAUCCCCGGGCUCAACCCGGGAACUGCUUUGGAAACUGUUGGGCUGGAGUGCUGGAGAGGCAAGCGGAAUUCCUAGUGUAGCGGUGAAAUGCGUAGAUAUUAGGAGGAACACCAGUGGCGAAGGCGGCUUGCUGGACAGUAACUGACGUUGAGGCUCGAAAGCGUGGGGAGCAAACAGGAUUAGAUACCCUGGUAGUCCACGCCGUAAACGAUGCAUACUAGGUGUCGG
rnacentral:rRNA from 1 species